GGAAUCAAUGUCACAAUUGGUGCUCUAACAACAGCACUGAUCUUUCCAUAGUAAUUAGUAAGUGCUAUUUCUUGGGGUAGUUUUUUAGUGA
rnacentral:pre_miRNA from 1 species